rnacentral:rRNA from 1 species
CAGUCGCCGCGGUAAAACCGAGGGUGCAAGCGUUAAUCGGAAUUACUGGGCGUAAAGCGCGCGUAGGUGGUUUGUUAAGUUGGAUGUGAAAUCCCCGGGCUCAACCUGGGAACUGCAUUCAAAACUGACUGACUAGAGUAUGGUAGAGGGUGGUGGAAUUUCCUGUGUAGCGGUGAAAUGCGUAGAUAUAGGAAGGAGCACCAGUGGCGAAGGCGGCCACCUGGACUAAUACUGACACUGAGGUGCGAAAGCGUGGGGAGCAAACAGGAUUAGAUACCCGGGUAGUCCCUGUCUCUUAUAC